GUGCUACUCCCUCCGUCUGGAAAUACUUGUCAUCAAAAUUAAUAAAAGGGGAUGCAUCUAGACGUAUUUUAGUUUUAGAUACAUCUUUUUUUAUCCAUUUUGAUGACAAGUAUUUUUGGACGGAGGGAGUACAUC
rnacentral:pre_miRNA from 1 species